rnacentral:rRNA from 1 species
UACGUAGGGUGCGAGCGUUGUCCGGAAUUACUGGGCGUAAAGGGCUUGUAGGUGGUUUGUCGCGUUGUUCGUGAAAACUCACAGCUUAACUGUGGGCGUGCGGGCGAUACGGGCAGACUGGAGUACUGCAGGGGAGACUGGAAUUCCUGGUGUAGCGGUGGAAUGCGCAGAUAUCAGGAGGAACACCGGUGGCGAAGGCGGGUCUCUGGGCAGUAACUGACGCUGAGGUGCGAAAGCGUGGGGAGCGACCAGG